CUCCUACACCAGCCACCGUGUAGUGUAGUGGUAGUGGAUGGCGUAGUGUAGUGUGGUGUAGUAUGGUAAAAUCCCGAUUACACUUGCCUGGUCUCCCAUAUAGUGUAGUGUAUGGCGUAGUGUAGUGUAGCAUAGUGUAGUGAAACCGGGUUUUUUUUUUAAUUUUAUGACUCCUGAUAUAGUGUAGUGUAUGGUGUAGUGUAGUAUAGUAUAGUAUAGUGAAAACGGGUCUUUCUACAAAUGUGUCCUUCCCCUGAUCAGCAGUAGCAGUCCCCAAAUCCUACAAGUGACGUUCCCUUCUAGAACUUGCCGGAAUAUUUUUUUCCCUACGUCACGACUACAACAACAUGUAUGAGCUAAUCAGGAACAUUUCGGAAUCGAUGGGGACGAUAGCUUAUCACUUUGGCGUACAAAUUAAUCAGGGACCAUUGUCGGAAGAAAACCCUGAGCCGGCUGCGUUGGCUGAACAUUUUGAGAUAGUGGAAAAAAGGGGAACGUGUGUUUGAAGAAGGUGAAUGUAUGGAUGAAGAAUGUGAACAUUUGGAUGAAGAAAUAGAACGUUUGGAUGAAGAAGGUGGGGAUGAAAUUGCCGGCAACUUGAUCUAUGCAGACGCUAAUAAUAUUCAAGAAAGGCAGUUCCCAUUAAAGAAAUUAGAGAGUUUGACAUUAUUGGAAGUUCAGCUGCAGGGACAAAACCAUUCAAAGGAGAAUUUGCCGACCGGAUUACGAUCCCUUGAUGAUAGGCUGGGCAAUUGAUGAUUCCUGGACGUUGCCUAUUAUCAACAGACCGAGAUCCAGCCGGCUGUGGAUCAAACAUAUAUGCCAGGACAUUUCAAUUGCCAUAACGACCCAUGCAACGCUUUAACAUUCUCGAGACGGAAUUUACAUCAGAAGACCAAGAAAUUUUCAUCAUCGGUCUUCUGGAAUACAUCUUUAAACACCGGCUGGUGAAGAUGAUAAUUUUUUCUCGAAACGUGAGAAGCCCAAAACAUCCCAUCUUAUUGUCGCCGUUGUACGACGUAAUCAAAAGAGCAGCAAUGUUGAAAUUCGGGAACAACCAAUUUGUGGACAAAGCCAUCAGAAAAUGGAUAAAGCUCCAACCCUAAGUCAGAAGGGUGAAAGAAGAGACGCAACUGAGGGAGGCCAUCCAAAUAAUGUAACAUGUAAAAAAAAAUUCUUGCCUCUACAUGGAAAUGUCCCCUUUCCCUUCGCUCCUAAGUUUCGCCCCGUUUCCUUAACCUGUGGUGUUACUUCAUGAUUUAAACUUGAAAAUCUUCCACUGAUACGCGACGUAUAAAUAAACUAAGAAAU